UUCUGAAGGAUGGCAGUCGGGUGAAGCCCCUCUCAGUCAGCCUGCCCCACAAUGGCACCGUCCCUCCCCAGACCCACACAGAGCCCCAGACCCACUCAGAGCCCCAGACCCACACAGAGCCCCAGACCCACACAGAGCCCCAGACCCCCAUCAGCUGCACAGUGACCUUCUGCUCCCCUCAGCCCCUGGACCUCAGCUCACACAUCACAUUCCUGGACCACCUCAACAACAGGUUCAGGGUGGAGGUCUGUGCUACAGCAGAUAACAGUUUGUUGACAGUGUGGCCCUACCUGGCUCUGCACCGCUCUGAGCAGCAGAUAGUCCUCAAGACUGGUUGUCUGAGCGGCUGCAGCGGCGAAUCAGGGCCCUCUCAGAUGACAGGGAAGGCGGUGCUAC